GGCCUCUCGGUGCUUACCACAGGCUGUGUUCUCACAAGGCCUGCCCAGAAAGGGGGCAGAGCAAACUCACCCCGUAUACACCUCAGCCCAGGCCUCUGCCCGGUCUGUAUUGUGCGUGAGGGGGGACAUGA